rnacentral:tRNA from 1 species
GGAUUGUGGCUCAGUGGUAGAGCGCUCACCUAGCAUAGGCAGGACCCGGGUUCGAUCCUCAGCACCA